rnacentral:rRNA from 1 species
GGGAAAGUUUUUCGGUGUAGGAUGAGGCUAUAUUGUAUCAGCUAGUUGGUGAGGUAAUGGCUCACCAAGGCUAUGACGCAUAACUGGUCUGAGAGGAUGAUCAGUCACACUGGAACUGAGACACGGUCCAGACUCCUACGGGAGGCAGCAGUAGGGAAUAUUGCUCAAUGGGGGAAACCCUGAAGCACCAACGCCGCGUGGAGGAUGACACUUUUCGGAGCGUAAACUCCUUUUGUUAGGGAAGAACAAUGACGGUACCUAACGAAUAAGCACCGGCUAACUCCGUGCCAGCAGCCGCGGUAAUACGGAGGGUGCAAGCGUUACUCGGAAUCACUGGGCGUAAAGGACGCGUAGGCGGAUUAUCAAGUCUCUUGUGAAAUCCUAUGGCUUAACCAUAGAACUGCUUGGGAAACUGAUAAUCUAGAGUGAGGGAGAGGCAGAUGGAAUUGGUGGUGUAGGGGUAAAAUCCGUAGAGAUCACCAGGAAUACCCAUUGCGAAGGCGAUCUGCUGGAACUCAACUGACGCUAAUGCGUGAAAGCGUGGGGAGCAAACAGGAUUAGAUACCCUGGUAGUCCACGCCCUAAACGAUGUAUACUAGUUGUUGCUAAGCUAGUCUUGGCAGUAAUGCACCUAACGGAUUAAGUAUACCGCCUGGGGAGUACGGUCGCAAGAUUAAAACUCAAAGGAAUAGACGGGGACCCGCACAAGCGGUGGAGCAUGUGGUUUAAUUCGAAGAUACGCGAAGAACCUUACCCGGACUUGAUAUCUAACAAAUCAUCUAGAGAUAGAAGAGUGUCUGCUUGCAGAAAUGUUAAGACAGGUGCUGCACGGCUGUCGUCAGCUCGUGUCGUGAGAUGUUGGGUUAAGUCCCGCAACGAGCGCAACCCACGUCAUUAGUUGCUAACAGUUCGGCUGAGCACUCUAAUGAGACUGCCUUCGUAAGGAGGAGGAAGGUGUGGACGACGUCAAGUCAUCAUGGCCCUUAUGUCCGGGGCGACACACGUGCUACAAUGGCAUAUACAAUGAGAAGCAAUAUCGCGAGAUGGAGCAAAUCUA